rnacentral:rRNA from 1 species
UACAGAGGGUGCAAACGUUGUUCGGAAUUACUGGGCGUAAAGCGUGUGUAGGCGGCCAUAUAAGUCGGAUGUGAAAGCCCUGGGCUCAACCCAGGAAGUGCACUCGAUACUGUAUGGCUCGAGUACUGGAGAGGUUGGUGGAAUUCUCGGUGUGAGAGGUGAAAUUCGUAGAUAUCGAGAGGAACACCGGUGGCGAAGGCGGCCAACUGGACAGAUACUGACGCUGAGACACGAAAGCGUGGGGAGCAAACAGG